UUUUUAAUGAAAGAAUUUUGGAUUACCAUAUUUUCCGGACUACAGAGGGCACCUCACAAUAAGACGCACCCACAAAGUUU